rnacentral:lncRNA from 1 species
ACUUCCUUACUCUGUUCAGAGUCAAUGUGAUAUUAUUAAGUUGUAUUAAAAUUCUAAGUUUUGGGUAAACCCCAUAAGUAUCGAAAACCAAGGUGAGUGCGAAAAAAAUGGAAUAAGAAAAAAAAUGAUCAUCGAAAAAAAGAGAAAAUGAAAAGUACUCGAUGGUUCGAAAAGAAGCACUCACCGAAGGAAGAGAGCUCGAUUGAAAAAAAAAGAGAGAGAAUAUCCAAGACCGAGCGAUUGAAAAAAAAGAAAAAAAAGUGAAAUGAACAAAGACAGUGGGAAGAAUAUUGGCAUUGGCUUUGAACCCAAAACCACUUGUUUUCCUUUUUUUUUGUAUUCACCACACCAUUAC